rnacentral:rRNA from 1 species
CCUGAACGCUGGCGGCGUGGCUAAGACAUGCAAGUCGCACGGGGGUAGCAAUACCCAGUGGCGAACGGGAGAGUAAUGAAUCGCUAACGUACCCCGGACUCUGGGAUAGCUGCCCGAAAGGGCAGGUAAUACCAGAUGAUAUAUUCCCUUGGCAUCUUGGGAAUCUCAAAGGUCCGCCGGUCUGGGAGCGGGCGAUUUCGUAUCAGCUAGUUGGUGAGGUAACGGCUCACCAAGGCGACGACGCGUAGCCGGACUGAGAGGUUGGCCGGCCUCAUUGGGACUGAGACACUGCCCAGACUCCGGUACGGGGGCGUGCAGUAACGAAUCUUCCGCAAUGCACGAAAGUGUGACGGAGCGACGCCGCGU